AUUGAACGCUGGCGGCAGGCUUAACACAUGCAAGUCGAGCGGGGGAAGGUAGCUUGCUACCGGACCUAGCGGCGGACGGGUGAGUAAUGCUUAGGAAUCUGCCUAUUAGUGGGGGACAACAUCUCGAAAGGGAUGCUAAUACCGCAUACGUCCUAUGGGAGAAGGCAGGGGAUCUUCGGACCUUGCGCUAAUAGAUGAGCCUAAGUCGGAUUAGCUAGUUGGUGGGGUAAAGGCCUACCAAGGCGACGAUCUGUAGCGGGUCUGAGAGGAUGAUCCGCCAGACUGGGACAGGGACACGGCCCAGACUCCUACGGGAGGCAGCAGUGGGGAAUAUUGGACAAUGGGGGGAACCCUGAUCCAGCCAUGCCGCGUGUGUGAAGAAGGCCUUAUGGUUGUAAAGCACUUUAAGCGAGGAGGAGGCUACUUUAGUUAAUACCUAGAGACAGUGGACGUUACUCGCAGAAUAAGCACCGGCUAACUCUGUGCCAGCCGCCGCCGUAA
rnacentral:rRNA from 1 species